rnacentral:rRNA from 1 species
GAGUUUGAUCCUGGCUCAGGACGAACGCUGGCGGUAUGCUUAACACAUGCAAGUCGAACGAGACGAGAUGGAAGUGCUUGCACAGAAAUCUUAGAAAGUGGCGAACGGGUGAGUAACGCGUGGGUAACCUGCCCUUUGGAAAGGAAUAGCCUCGGGAAACUGGGAGUAAUGCCUUAUAAGAUACAUUUGUCGCAUGGCAGAAGUAUUAAACGCUCCGGUGCCAAAGGAUGGACCCGCGUCCCAUUAGCUAGUUGGUGAGAUAACAGCCCACCAAGGCGACGAUGGGUAACCGGUCUGAGAGGGCGAACGGUCACACUGGAACUGAGACACGGUCCAGACUCCUACGGGAGGCAGCAGUGGGGAAUAUUGCGCAAUGGGGGAAACCCUGACGCAGCAAUACCGCGUGAGUGAAGAAGGUUUUCGGAUCGUAAAGCUCUGUUAUUGGGGAAGAAAAAAAGACGGUACCCAAGAAGAAAGUCCCGGCUAACUACGUGCCAGCAGCCGCGGUAAUACGUAGGGGACAAGCGUUGUCCGGGAUUUACUGGGCGUAAAGGGCACGCAGGCGGUUUUUUUAAGUCAGAUGUGAAAGGUACCGGCUCAAC